UUGAGAUUUCAUCUCAUACCAGUCUGAAAAGCAGUCAUAAAGAAUAUAAGCAAUAAUCGAUGCUGGAGACGAUGUGAGAAAGAGGAACACUUUUAUACCAUUGGUUGGGAGUAUUAAUUACUAAAACCACUGUGGAAAUCAAUGUAGAGGAUCCUAGGAAGACCAGGCAUGGACACACCAUAUGGCCCAGUUAGACCACUCCUCAGUAUUUAUCCUAAAGGAAUUAAAGUUAGCUUACUCUAUUACUACAUGCACACCCGUAUUUGUAGCAGCAUAAUUCCCAAUACCCAAUCGAUGGAACCAGCCUCGUGUCCAUCAGUGGAUGGAUGGAUAAAGAAAAUGUGGUAUAUAUACAUAAUGGAGUUUCAGUCAGCCAGAAAGAAAAAUGGAAUCACGUCAUUUUCAGGAAAAUGGAUGGAACUUGAGACCAUUAAGGGAAAUAAGUCAAACUCAGAAGAUCAGGGGUCAUGUGUUUCCUCUCACAGGACGAAGCUAGAGAAUAAAAAGGAAAAGGAAAAAAAAAAAGGUGGAGAUGGAUCUCCUGGAAAUCAAAGGGAGGUCCGUAGAGGAAAAGGACCCAAAGUUGGGAGGCAGGGAGGGAGAGGGGAGCCCUGGUGAGGGAUACUGGCCAAAUUGUAUUGUUAUGUGGUGUGCGUGUACAAUCCCAUCAUCGUGUACAACUCUAAGGCACCAAUCAAGAAAUGUGGAAAGACAAGUAUUUCCAGGGGCUGGGGUCGUGGCUCAGUGACAGAGCGCUUGCCUAGCAUGUGGAAGGUCCUGGGUUCGAGUCUCAGCACCGCAUGGUAAAUCAGUGAUUAAAAUAAAGGUCCGUCAACAGCUGAAACAAAUACUUAAAAAAAGGAUUUCCAUAAAGAAGAAAUCGUGGUGAAAAAGCAUCCGUGACCUGCCCCACGUCCCACAGUGACUAGUGAGGACCCAGGAUGAAGCCAGAUCCUUGAGGUGUACAAGGCCCCUCUGGGCCUUCUACCCAGAGGGGGCUUCCUGUCUCUCUGGUUUCUCUUUCUGCUAGGGGAGAGAGACAUUUUUUGUGACAUUUUUCAAGAGCCUUUUAGGUGUCAGCCACUCUGUGUAGCCCUCUCAGGAAUCCUAUGGAGCAGAUGAUGGGAUCCGUAUUUCCUCAGUGAGAACGUGGAAGCUCACAGCGGUUCUAGUCUAAGCAGAAACCAGACGUUGGCCAUCUGAGCCCCCGCGAGACGGAACAGCCAGCCCCCCCUUGCUGAAGGACCACAGCAGAUGCCUUGGUGGACAUGUACAACUGGGCUUCAGCCCAGGGAAGUUGUAUUUUGCCUGUAAAUUUAGUCACUGGGGCGACACAUCUUCUGAGUUUCAAGAUGACUGAGGACAAGCGACUCUCUGAGAAGGAAUUAACAUCCAUCAAGAGUGAUGCAGUCUGCAGACUUAGAAGUAUCCAAAAAUAAUCACCCCUGGAGAGAUCUCUGUAAAUCAGCAAUGAAAGAGCUAAAGGAAAACUAUAAAUCAUUCCAUUACAGUUUCAUACAUUUACAAGUAAGUGGCCUUGGAAGCAGGAUUGGCGUAUAAGCUGUAUUUAGACUUGGUGUGCGAAGCAAAUUUGAAUCGAAUAUAAAUCUUGGUGUGGUAUUUUUAAGCACCCCCCCCACCCAGGAAGGGGGGCAGGGUGCUCCUGGGGAAGAAGGAGAGUUGGAGGAGUAUCAGAGCUAUUUUGGAAAGUUUCAUCUACAUUUUUAGAAAGAUGCAUUUUUGAAGAAUUGGAAUAUCAAUCACUUCCCACCGGCGGGAUUCUUCAUCAGGGGAGAAAUGGCAGCGUGUCCGAUUUUCCUCGAGUCUCUCCAGAGCGCAUUAUUAAGUGGGUCUUGUCGCUGUGCGCCAUGGGUGAAAAGAAACUCUUUCUUGGCUCCCCUCCCUGUCCCUCGCCUCCUUAUUUACUGCUGGCAACAGACUUGUUAAGUGUGAAGCAAGAAGCCAGACAGAAUGUUAAUGCAGAGAAGACAUGGGAGUUGGGGGUGCCCUGGGCCUUGAAUGUAACUGACGGACAGGAGGCCCAGGCAGUGAUGCCCUGCUCCCUCUAGACACUGCAUGAGGAAGGAAGUGGAGCCUCAUCGGUGAGCACCUCAGACAGGAGCCAAGCCCUAGCCCCUAAGUCAAUAGCUUCCCACCCAAGAAUGACUGAACGAGCCAGGGUCCUGAGCUUAGGUAACCGUGGGCCCAGUGAAUGCUGGCUUUGCAAUGGAAAUUCACAAUUUGGCAGGAAGUCUGCAGAUUUCGAAUGCAUUGGCUAACUCUGCGGCUCUUCCCCCGCCCCCUGCUCAUGACAGGUCUUCCUUUCUGGGAUAUUUCAAAUUCGAGGGAUGAAACAGGGUUGUCAUUAGAACUGGAUCCUGUCCACAGAGGCUCAGCAGUUGUGAUAUUCAGCAGGACAGAUUCAGACCCUAGAGGCCAAACAGCUUCUUCCUCCCCAGGUGGUUUAAAACAGAGACCUGCUCUCUGUCUUGUCCGUGGGUGUGUUUGCAGGGGUGUUGGAUGGCAAGGAAACUCCAGGGGCUAAAUCUAGGGGCAGAGAAAGCAGUGCAUAUGCCUGAGGCCAGGAGCCAGGACAGAUCGGUUAAAGGUCUGGAAUUACGAAGGGUAGGAGAUAAGCAGCAGCUCUGGGUGGUUUCCAACAGGGGCAGUUGCCUGCUUUCAUGUCUGGGUCAGAACUUGCUUGUAAUUGGUAGAUGGAUUGCUUGGAUGGAAAUGGAGCCUGAAAAGAAUCUCUUCCCUUCCAGCAAUUAAACAUUCUCCCUGCGUCCUCCACUCUGGCCCUUCAACAGACCCUUUCUCCUCAUGCACCGUGCAGUGGUGUUUUGCAGCCUGGUUUGAAUUAGCUCCCAGGGUCCACAUCCUUGAAGCUUGGCCUUCCUUUCCGCCCUAGGCUGUGUGGCGAGGUAUGGUGGGACACCCAGUGUGAAUCAAUUGGGAAGAUGCUGAUGUCAGAUACCUACCAGCCAGAGGUGGGGAUUCUUUUAAACGUCACUUCCCUCUGGUGACCUCCUUUCCUGCCCCAUCACUACCACACACACUUGACAACUCACUUGAGUACUUUGAAUGGUUUUUCAAAAAGGGGUUUGUGCAGAUGAUUCUUUGGGGUUCAAGUAGUUAUUUUUUACCCUAAAAAGUGUUUUAUGUUUGACGUAUGGACGGAUAGGGGAUCAUGUCUGUAAUAUAAAUGAACAUGCAUCCAU